GGUGGCUCAAUGGUAGAGUGCUUGCCUCGCAUGCAUGAGGCUCUGGGUUCAAUUCCUCAGCACCA
rnacentral:tRNA from 1 species